GCGAAUAGCUCAGUAACACGUGGCCAAGCUACCCUUCAGACCGUGAUCCUCGGGAAACUGAGGUCAAUAACGGAUACGGUAUCCAUGUUGGAAGACAGGAUACUCCAAACGCUUUCCGCGCUGAAGGAUGCGGCUGCGGCCGAUUAGGUAGACGGUGGGGUAACGGCCCACCGUGCCAAUAAUUGGUACGGGUCAUGAGAGUGAGAGCCCGGAGACGGAAUCUGAGACAAGAUUCCGGGCCCUACGGGGCGCAGCAGGCGCGAAACCUUUACACUGCACGCACGUGCGAUAGGGGAAUCCCAAGUGCGAGGGCAUACUAGCCCUCGCUUUUGUGUACCCUAAGGCGGUACACGAAUAAGAGCUGGGCAAGACCGGUGCCAGCCGCCGCGGUAAUACCGGCAGCUCGAGUGAUGUCCAAUUUUAUUGGGCCUAAAGCGUCCGUAGCUGGCCAGCCAAGUUCGUCGGGAAAUCCACCUGCCCAACAGGUGGGCGUCCGGCGAAAACUGUCUGGCUUGGAACCGGAAGGCUCAGAGGGUACGUCCGGGGUAGGAGUGAAAUCCUGUAAUCCCGGACGGACCACCGAUGGCGAAAGCACUCUGAGAAGACGGAUUCGACAGUGAGGGACGAAAGCUAGGGUCUCGAACCGGAUUAGAUACCCGGGUAGUCCUAGCUGUAAACGAUGCUCGUUAGAUGUGGCACCCACUACGAGUGGGUGCUGUGUCGUAGGGAAGCCGCUAAACGAGCCGCCUGGGAAGUACGUCCGCAAGGAUGAAACUUAA
rnacentral:rRNA from 1 species